UACGUAGGGUGCAAGCGUUGUCCGGAAUCAUUGGGCGUAAAGAGCGUGUAGGCGGCCAGAAAAGUCCGCUGUGAAAACUCGAGGCUCAACUUCGAGCUGUCGGUGGAAACUUUCUGGCUAGAGUCCGGAAGAGGAGAAUGGAAUUCCUGGUGUAGCGGUGAAAUGCGCAGAUAUCGGGAGGAACACCUGAGGCGAAGGCGGGCUACUGGGCCGAUACUGACGCUGAGGCGCGAAAGCCAGGGGAGCAAACGGG
rnacentral:rRNA from 1 species